GGUCCAGACUUUGAUUAUGGCUCAGGAUGAACGCUAGCUACAGGCUUAACACAUGCAAGUCGAGGGGAAACGAUAUUGGAAGCUUGCUUCCGAUAGGCGUCGACCGGCGCACGGGUGAGUAACGCGUAUCCAACCUGCCCAUCACUUGGGAAUAACCUUGCGAAAGUAAGACUAAUGCCCAAUGACAUUUAUAGAAGGCAUCGGAAAUGAAUUAAAGAUUUAUCGGUGAUGGAUGGGGAUGCGUCUGAUUAGCUUGUUGGCGGGGUAACGGCCCACCAAGGCGACGAUCAGUAGGGGUUCUGAGAGGAAGGUCCCCCACAUUGGAACUGAGACACGGUCCAAACUCCUACGGGAGGCAGCAGUGAGGAAUAUUGGUCAAUGGGCGAGAGCCUGAACCAGCCAAGUAGCGUGCAGGAUGACGGCCCUAUGGGUUGUAAACUGCUUUUAUAGGGGAAUAAAGUGAGCCACGCGUGGUUUUUUGCAUGUACCCUAUGAAUAAGGACCGGCUAAUUCCGUGCCAGCAGCCGCGGUAAUACGGAAGGUCCGGGCGUUAUCCGGAUUUAUUGGGUUUAAAGGGAGCGUAGGCCGGAGAUUAAGCGUGUUGUGAAAUGUAGAUGCUCAACAUCUGAACUGCAGCGCGAACUGGUUUCCUUGAGUACGCAUAAAGUGGGCGGAAUUCGUGGUGUAGCGGUGAAAUGCUUAGAUAUCACGAAGAACUCCGAUUGCGAAGGCAGCUCACUGGGGCGCAACUGACGCUGAAGCUCGAAAGCGCGGGUAUCGAACAGGAUUAGAUACCCUGGUAGUCCGCGCGGUAAACGAUGGAUGCCCGCUGUUGGGUCAACUGGUUCAGCGGCCAAGCGAAAGCAUUAAGCAUCCCACCUGGGGAGUACGCCGGCAAGGGUGCAACUCAAAGGAAUUGACGG
rnacentral:rRNA from 1 species